GACGUAGGGCGCGAGCGUUGUCCGGAUUUAUUGGGCGUAAAGAGCUCGUAGGCGGCUUGUUGCGUCGACUGUGAAAACCCGCGGCUUAACUGCGGGCUUGCAGUUGAUACGGGCAGGCUAGAGUUCGGUAGGGGAGACUGGAAUUCCUGGUGUAGCGGUGAAAUGCGUAGAUAUCGUAAGGAAGACCAGUGGCGAAGGCGGGUCUCUGGACAGUUCCUGACGCUGAGGCACGAAGGUCAGGGGAGCAAACGGG
rnacentral:rRNA from 1 species